rnacentral:tmRNA from 1 species
GGGGAUGUCGGGUUUCGACAGGUGGUCAGAUUGUAGGAUUGCAGGUCGAGGUGUCGGUAUAGCACUUCUCGUUAAACAACCGACAAAACAAUAACUGCCAAAACAACGCAGUAUAAACCCGCUCUCGCACUCGCUGCCUAAUUAGUAGUGAGUGUAUCGCUACCUAAACAGUAGCGAAGCGGCGUUCGCCCGGCUUUUACUCGUGGAGCCGGGUACGAGCGACAGAAACACGAGUUGCUCUGGCAAUCACCGUCCUCUAGUUGCCAGCUAAGACCAGAGGGCCGCGCGCAACGGAAUCCUGUCGGUGGGAGUCCGGGGCGUUUAAGCCAAACCAUCGACUAAACCUGUAGUACAUUCUACGAUAAGGCUGUUUGGACAGGGAGUUCAACUCUCCCUCAUCUCCACCA